rnacentral:rRNA from 1 species
GUGCCAGCCGCCGCGGUAAGACAGGGGUCUCGAGCGUUAAUCGGAAUCACUGGGCUUAAAGGGUGCGUAGGCGGACCAGUAAGCGUCCUGUGAAAUCCCAUGGCUCAACCAUGGAAUUGCAGGGCGAACUGCUGGUCUUGAGGAAGCUAGAGGCUGGCAGAACGAUUGGUGGAGCGGUGGAAUGCGUAGAUAUCAAUCGGAAUGCCGAAAGUGAAGACAGCCAGCUGGGGCUUUCCUGACGCUGAGGCACGAAAGCGUGGGUAGCAAACCGGAUUAGAUACCCUCGUAGUCC